CCCGGGCCCCGCGGGCCUGCAGCGCCCCCGCACCCGGUUCCACGCGCCCAGGGCCGCCCCCGCGGAGAGAGGGGGCGCGAGGGGCGCGCCUCUCGCUCGGACACCCUCUCCCAGCUCGCGCCCCAGGUAACUUAAACCCAAUUAUAAAUGGCUUUGGCUAUAAAGUGUUCUUGAAUGAAAACGUUUAGGAAGUAGGCCUGGAUUCAGAUGCUUCAGAGGCUCAAAGGUUUUCUAAUUGUUUAUGGAGAAGAUUGAUCUUCACAAGCUAGUUUUUUCAUAGGCAAAAGCAAAAGUCUCUUCCUGUGUUAUUAAGUGAAAAUGGCUGAUUAUAAAAAGGGGCUUACAAACAAUAUUUAACAAAUCUUCAUCAAGUCCCUACUCUGUGGCAGGCCCUGGGUCAGGAGGUUGCCGAUUCCAGGAAGAAUCAGACCUUAUCCCUGCCCUUGAGUCUCAAGAAGAGGAAAGGAAAACAAAUAAGCAUAGUACAGUGUGAAAAGUGGGACUGUGGUCAAAUUUCAGUCUGCAAACUCAGAUCAUGAAAGAUAGUGUGGCUUCCACUUUGGUCUCUUAUAUCACCUACUGGGGGAAGCCAGCUGCCAUGUUGUGAGGACACUCAAGAAGCUCUGUGGAGAGGCUCUUUUGAAGGAGAACCAAUGCCUCCCACCAACAGCCAGCAUCAACUUGGGACAUGUGAGUGAACCAAUUGGAAGUGGAUCCUCCAGCCAAGUCAAGCCUUCAGAUGACUGAAGCCCCAGCCUCAUGAGAGAUAGCAGGCUAAAACUGCCCAGCUAAGCUGCUCCUGAAAUCCUGACCCCCCAAAUUAUAAAAGACAAUAAAUUAUUAUUGUUGUUUUAAGCCA
rnacentral:lncRNA from 1 species